CUCUCAUUUAAUUCCCUCUCAGGAUGGCAAGUGUUCAUGUUUAAUGAACUUUCUGCAGAGCCAUCUGGGGAGAUUUAAAACAACCCCUCCGGCAGCUGGUCGGGGUGUGAUUAAUGAUGGCUGCGGACUCGAGCAGAGCAGAACCGAGGGGACAAGAGCUGUGAGGCUCCCGCGAGGAGGUCGAAGCACUCUUCUCAGCCGUUCCUUGUUGCACCAUGUUGUCUGUAGAGCAGCAGACCGCGGCCACGCAGCCCUGCUGCUGUUCUCCAGCCACAGCCUGCGGGGGCUCGCAGCGCUCAGCCGGUGGCGCCGGGCGUUCCUGAGGACACGGGACAUUUAUUUUUCAAUAUGUUGCGGUCUGCAUUAGGUUUUCUGCUGCCUGGGUGAAGCCCCUUAAAUCUAGCUCCAAGUGACAGCUAUACAACUGCCCCUUGCUUUCCGGAGAGGUCGUUAGAUUUUAGCAGCAAUGGCAUUCACCCAGCGUUUUGCCGGGGGAAUACUGAAGGUCCAGAAUGUCACAGCGUUAUGUAAGGUUGUAAAAAUACGGCUUUCCCCUGCGUAAAUCACAUUUCUAUGUCAGCAGCCAGCGAGCAGUAAGGGAAUUUGUUUAACCCUGCCGUGCCUGGCAGCUGGGUCACCUUCCCGCAACGCAGCCACGAACCCGAGUAGAAUCAUCCCUGCCUUUUCCCUUGCGGUCCCAAAGAGUUUGCCCCCGUCCUUGUGUGCAGGAGCCGUAAACCCUUUCAAUCCACUUAUCUGCUUCUUCCUCCCCUUCUUCAUCCCUCCCUUGUGCAACCCCAGCUGCCUGCAGCAGGAGGACAUCCAGGUGUGCUCCUGGCAUCGCAGCCAUCCAUCACCCGUGGCACUUCUGGCUCUCCUCCCCUGAGACCCACCGGCAUCGCACUCCGUGCCUCUCCUUCAGUGCACAAACGCUCUCCUCACCGUCAUUGUCUCUUGUCAGAGUCCGGCAGCGUCCUCGCAAAGAGCAGCAAUCACCGAGAAGAUGGCCAGCACAAAGCAGGGGUGGGAUGGGUGGGAAUAAUUCAGCAAAAGACAGAAGGAGAUGGACCACAACCAAGCUUAACUCAGUGCCAUGAAAUUUGCAGUGCUGUACUUUUAUAUGGGGAUCUUAGCACAGAGGUGACCCUUGGGUAUCUCUCGAAUGCAGCUGUGUCCUCCUGGUGCUCCUCUUUCACUGUGCAUGCUGUAGGGAACACAAUGAAUGAGGCUUUGUUAUGACACCAACCCCAAAGACUUCCCAGUCUAUCCAAGACAGUUGAGAAAUGACAGCAGAAUUAUCCCCAUUUUAUAGGUUAGGAGCUGGGUCCAGACUCUGACCACCAUGUACCCACUGGCAGCUGGGAAUG
rnacentral:lncRNA from 1 species